GGGAUGGUUCGAAGUCGCCCAAAGCAAAUCAACCAAAUCCACCCGUUGGGAGGCGAAGAUGCCACCGCCGUUCUCGUCCCUUCUCCUCCCCCUCAACACCCCCAUCCAAAUCCCUUUCUCCCCUUCUCGCUCUCUUCCCUCCUCUCGCCCCUUCUCGAAGCUUCCUCUCCCCGCCUCCACCUUCUUCCCCUACUCCCUCCCCCACCAACACCCUAAUCCAGAUCCCGAACCCUCGAUCGCGCCCGAAUUCGAGGACGACGACGUCGUCGUCGGCGAUUGCCUCGUCUUCGAUGAGGGCGCCUUCGAGGACGCCGACGCCUUCCUCCCCGCCGACGAGCGGCGCGAUUCCGCCGAGAGGCCUCGGCGGGGGCGGAGGAAGCCGCCCUUGGCGGCGGCGGCGGCGGAGCCCGAGAACUUGGUGCCGGAGAAGUGGAAGGAUGCGGUGGAGGAGCUCAACCUGACGAAGAAGGAGAAGCGCAAGAUCGCGCACCAGUUGAAGUUCGGGAGCCGGAUAGAGCGGAGGAAGCCGCCGACGGUGCCGGAUAUGGCGGAGUAUCGGACGUAUAGGGAGAUGAAUCUGGCACAGCUGAAACCCGUGGUGCUUGAUGACCCGAAGGAGUUCCUCGCGGAGAAGGAGGUGCUGGGGCCGCCGAAGGCCGGAGGAAGAGUCCCUCCGAAGAACCCUAGAUUGGGGUUGGAUGGUGGGAGUUUGGAGGACAUCGCUGAUUUCUUUAGCAGCGGAGACUAUAAGCCAAGCGAGUUGGAUGAUGAUAAGGAUCCGAGAGGUCGUCGUAAGCUGUUUUCAAAUGAGGAGAAGGUUCUUUUGAACAAACGUAUGCCUGAUCUGGAAGUUGCAACUUCUAGCAAAUGGCUGCCCCUACACACUCUUGCUGCCUCAGGAGAGUUUUAUCUUUUGGACAGGCUUCUCAGACACAAUGUUGAUAUCAAUGGUGUUGACAAGGAUGGUUUAUCAGCAAUACAUAAAGCAAUAAUUUGCAACAAACAAGCCAUUGUCAAUUAUCUUUUGAGAAACUCAGCAAAUCCAUUUGUCCGUGAUAGGGAUGGAGCUACAUUGAUGCAUUAUGCUGUCCAAACUGCGUCAAGUCCGACUAUAAAGAUUCUUUUGCUAUACAAUGUUGAUGUAAAUCUUGCAGAUGAAAGUGGUUGGACGCCAUUGCAUCUCGCAGUGCAAACUCAAAGAACAGAUAUUGUGAGACUUCUACUAAUAAAAGGUGCAGACAGAACCUUAAAAAAUAAUGAUGGGUUGACCCCACUUGAACUCUGUCUUCACUCCGGUCGGCAUAUGAGGACCUAUGAGCUUGUCAGAUUACUGAAAGGCAGGCCAUUGUCGACGUAACGAGCUUGAAUUUGAUUCUAUAACUUGUUGAUGCCAGCUGUUUCAAACUGUUUGUCCUUUUCUACAUCGAUUCGAAUACUGGGCAACUAAUAUAUGACCCUUGUAUAGUUGUACCUCUCUUAUUAAACAGGACAAAACACUAGAUUGUAUAGUUAUCUUCUAGGCCAACCUGCCGAUUGGUUUUGUUCAUUGAAGUGGGGAUGGUAAACUUUUCUGCGAGCUGGAUUUUCGCGGAGAUCAUUCCUUAAUAUACUAGGGCAAGGUAGAUAGUUUCCUCCACAUGAACGGGAAACUGCGUAAGUCUUAUUUCGGUCAUAUGAUGUGAUUUUACUGAUUACGUUUCUCCUCUACAGGUGUUCAUAUAUUUAAAUGAGAUUGUAAAGUUAUACUACAUGGUAUUGUAUUUUACUGAUCGAAUAUCUUUUCACUAGAACCAGAAUAACGCUUUCAUAUUAACACAUCUCUAUCAUCUGUC